rnacentral:rRNA from 1 species
AUUGAACGCUGGCGGCAGGCCUAACACAUGCAAGUCGAGCGGAGCGGCGGACGGGUGAGUGAUGCCUAUGAAUGUGCCUGGUCGUGGGGGAGAACGUCCUGGAACGGGCGGUAAUACUGCAUACUAUCGGAUGAGCCUAGGUCGGUUUGGCUAGGUGGUGGGGGAAAGGCCUACCAAGGCGACGAUCCGUAACUGGUCUGAGUGGGAGAGCAGUCACACUGGAACUGAGACACGGUCCAGACUCCUACGGGAGGCAGCAGUGGGGAAUAUUGCACAAUGGGCGAAAGCCUGAUGCAGCCAUGCCGCGUGUGUGAAGAAGGCCUUCGGAUUGUAAAGUACUUUAAGCUGGGAGGCGUUACCAACAGAAGAAGCACCGGCUAACUUCGUGCCAGCAGCCGCGGUAAUUC